rnacentral:rRNA from 1 species
AUUGGACAAUGGGGGGAACCCUGAUCCAGCAACGCCGCGUGAGUGAAGAAGUAUUUCGGUAUGUAAAGCUCUAUCAGCAGGGAAGAAAGNAAUGACGGUACCUGACUAAGAAGCCCCGGCUAACUACGUGCCAGCAGCCGCGGUAAUACGUAGGGGGCAAGCGUUAUCCGGAUUUACUGGGUGUAAAGGGAGCGUAGACGGCGAUGCAAGUCUGAAGUGAAAGGCGGGGGCCCAACCCCCGGACUGCUUUGGAAACUGUAUGGCUGGAGUGCAGGAGAGGCAGGCGGAAUUCCUAGUGUAGCGGUGAAAUGCGUAGAUAUUAGGAGGAACACCAGUGGCGAAGGCGGCCUGCUGGACUGUAACUGACGUUGAGGCUCGAAGGCGUGGGGAGCAAACAGG